rnacentral:tRNA from 1 species
GGUAGUAUGGCCGAGGCUAGGUGGCGGGUUGUAGCCCCGCAGACAGAGGAAUCUCUUGCUAUCA